rnacentral:rRNA from 1 species
GACGAACGCUGGCGGCGGGCUUAACACAUGCAAGUCGAACGGAAAGGCCCUGCUUUUGUGGGGUGCUCGAGUGGCGAACGGGUGAGUAACACGUGAGUAACCGGCCCUUGACUUUGGGAUAACUUCAGGAAACUGGGGCUAAUACCGGAUAGGAGCUCCUGCUGCAUGGUGGGGGUGGGAAAGUUUCGGCGGGUGGGGAUGGACUCGCGGCUUAUCAGCUUGUUGGUGGGGUAGUGGCUUACCAAGGCUUUGACGGGUAGCCGGCCUGAGAGGGUGACCGGCCACAUUGGGACUGAGAUACGGCCCAGACUCGUACGGGAGGCAGCAGUGGGGAAUAUUGCACAAUGGGCGGGAGCCUGAUGCAGCAACGCCGCGUGCGGGAUGACGGCCUUCGGGUUGUAAACCGCUUUCGCCUGUGACGAAGCGUGAGUGACGGUAAUGGGUAAAGAAGCACCGGCUAACUACGUG